GACGAACGCUGGCGGCGUGCCUAAUACAUGCAAGUCGAGCGCAGGAAAUCAUCCGAACCCUUCGGGGGGACGUUGAUGGAAUGAGCGGCGGACGGGUGAGUAACACGUAAAGAACCUGCCCUCAGGUCUGGGAUAACCACGAGAAAUCGGGGCUAAUACCGGAUGGGUCAUCGGACCGCAUGGUCCGAGGAUGAAAGGCGCUCCGGCGUCGCCUGGGGAUGGCUUUGCGGUGCAUUAGCUAGUUGGUGGGGUAAUGGCCCACCAAGGCGACGAUGACUAGCGGACCUGAGGGGGUGAUCGGCCACACUGGGACUGAGACCCGGCCCAGACUCCUACGGGAGGCAGCAGUAGGGAAUCUUCCACAAUGGACGAAAGUCUGAUGGGGCAACGCCGCGUGAACGAUGAAGGCCUUCGGGUCGUAAAGUUCUGUUGUAAGGGAAGAACAAGUGCCGCAGGCAACGGCGGCACCUUGACGGUACCUUGCGAGAAAGCCACGGCUAACUACGUGCCAGCAGCCGCGGUAACAC
rnacentral:rRNA from 1 species